UGUUUGGGAAUGCAGCUCUAAGCGGGUGGUAAGUUUCAUCGAAAGCUAAAUAUAGGCGAGAGACCGAUAGCGAACAAGUACCGUGAGGGAAAGAUGAAAAGAACUUUGAAAAGAGAGUGAAAAAGUACUUGAAAUUGCUAAGAGGGAAGCGCUGGAAUCCAGAGUUGCGCGCAGUCAUCUUGUCGUGCAUGCCUUUCGGUUGUGUUAGCUAGUUCGCAAGUUUAGUUGGCGUUUCCGUGGGGAGUGUGUGCGGCCUCAAUGGUUGUGUGCGUGUCAGGAUGAAUUCGAGCGGUGGGAGAAAGGGAUGCGGAAGGUAGGGCUGGCUUGCCAGUCUGUUAUAGCCGUGUCUCUCUACCAUGGCUUGGAUUGAGGAAGUGACGGGUGCGCCACAUGGCUUGGUCCCUUGCUCCUGUUUGUGACUUUUCGCUUGGAUAGCAAUGCUAUGCUGUGGAAGGUUGCGAGCACUGGGUAGGACGACCGUAUGCAUCACGAGCGAUCCUGACUCAAUGGAUUCCAUCGACCCGUCUUGAAACACGGACC
rnacentral:rRNA from 1 species